rnacentral:rRNA from 1 species
ACUCCUACGGGAGGCAGCAGUGGGGGAUUUUGCGCAAUGGGGGAAACCCUGACGCAGCAACGCCGCGUGAGUGAUGAAGGCCUUUGGGUCGUAAAGCUCUGUCAGAGGGAACGAAGUGUAGGGGGUUAAUAGCCUUUCUAUUUGACGGUACCCUCAAAGGAAGCACCGGCUAACUCCGUGCCAGCAGCCGCGGUAAUACGGAGGGUGCAAGCGUUGUUCGGAUUUAUUGGGCGUAAAGGGCGUGUAGGCGGUUUUGUAAGUCUGAUGUGAAAGCCCCGGGCUCAACCUGGGAAGUGCAUUGGAAACUGCAAGACUUGAGUACGGGAGAGGGCAGUGGAAUUCCCAGUGUAGGAGUGAAAUCCGUAGAUAUUGGGAGGAACACCGGUGGCGAAGGCGGCUGCCUGGACCGAUACUGACGCUGAGACGCGAAAGCGUGGGGAGCAAACAGGAUUAGAUACCCUGGUAGUCCACGCCGUAAACGAUGAGAACUAGGUGUCGCGGGUA